ensembl:lincRNA
AAAAGUAAAUUAAAAGUAUAAUAUAUAUCUGACUAUAUUGCAAAUUUGUCCUCACAGCUCUCUGGUCCAGGGGUGCCUUCUGCAUGGAAUCUGGAUGUUCUUACUCUGAUCAAGCAGGAUAUUUCUUUGUGCUCCAGUUCUUCCCACCUUCCAGAGCCCUGCUGGCUGGGAUAAUCGAUCUCCGCAAGGUAUUGCCCCCGUCUGCUUGUAUCAAAGUGCCCUGUGUUGGACUGGCAUUCUAGCUGCUGUCCCACCUUGUGCAAAGUCCUCCAGAAUAGACUCUGGACCAGGAAUAAGAGACUUUCUGAUGAUGGAUGGACUCAGAUUUGUAUGAUACAAGAACACAACUACACAAUGCAUCUGACUGUCAGACAUGUCUGUUGUGGUGUUGGAGACUUCAGCCUUAGAUGUACUGUGACACUAGGCCCUCGCUGACAUCCUGCCCCCCUCCCGCAGGGAGCUGCCGGAGAAGAAGUUGGCCAUGCCGCAGGGUCUGGUCAGCAGGGGCUUCCUGUCCGGCCGGAGCCUGUAGCGGACAGUGGACCAGCAAAGUCACCAAGACCCCCGGCCUCCUGGACGGCACUGGCCUGUACAGCUGGGGCAGUACCCUGACACUCUCAGAGGCUGAGUGGUCCUCAGUGGGCACUGUGGUCUGUGAGGCCACCCACAGCUCCUAGACUCCCCUCUCAACACCCCUGAAGAAAUCCGAGUGUACAGAAUAGCCCAGCCCGGAUUCUCAGCUUCAUUCCCAGAUUAGAACUGCAGAUAGUGGUGUUUAAUCCAUUAAUCCAUCAUGUCUUCCGUAUGUCAGUUCUCCAUGUAGAUCUCUGUAGACC